AACGUUCCUGGUUGAUGUUUAACACGCAGCUUAUACCAGUCUCUUGUUGUAGAUUGACAACAAGCUGCUUUUUCUAGAAGGAGGAUUGCUUGGGAAACCUUCAGAUGAAAAUGAAAAGAAAACGUCACCAUGGCCAGAGGAGGAGGAAGCGACAGCAACAACAACGGCGUCGACAGCAGCAGCAGGAACGACAGGAGCAGCAACAAGAGCAGCAGCGGCUGCGGCAGCAGCAGCAGCAGGAGCAGGAGCAGCAGCAGCAGCAGCAGGGGCAACAGCGGCAGCAGCAGCAGGGGCAGCAGCGGCAGCAGCAGCAGCAGCAGCAGCAGCAGCAGCAGCAGCAGUGCCAGCAGCAGCAGCAGCAGCAGUGCCAGCAGCAGCAGCAGCAGCAGCAGCAGUGCCAGCAGCAGCAGCAGCAGCAGUGCCAGCAGUGCCAGCAACUGCAGCAGCAGCAGCAGGAGCAGCAGCAGCAGCAACGUAGGAGGAGAAACAACAGGAGGAGCAGGAGGAGCAGGAAGAGUAAGAAGAGCAAGAGGAACAGGAAGACCAGAAACACCAGGAGGAGGAGGAGAAGAAAUAAUGAGUGAUUGUGUCUACGUUUACGGGAAGAGUUUGAUGUGGUAGAAAUGUUGGUAAAUAUAAUACCCAAACAUGAAAUUCUAAUAAAAUAAUUGAAAGCCUUCAAAGUCGUACAAACACCACAUACAGUAUAUAUAGUAAAUUGAAAUGCUAAUGUAACUUCCUAAAUCAAUUGCUGUUUUUGAAAAUUGUUUCAAAAAUUUGCUUCUCCACUUAGAAGUACGGCUGCUAGAGUCAUACAGUCUAUGUUAAGACUGUUUAGAUUAGUGGUUUCAUAAGGCUUAACAUGUUGAUCUGUUUUUUUAUUUUUAUUUUCUAUUUUAUUUUUGCAUAGCUUCUUUGGAGAAAUUUGUACUCAAAGAAUUACUCAUGUAGGUAAGACACUUUUUUUUUUUUUUACAUUUACAGUAGGUUUGCAUGACAUAUACCUAGCAUGGUAUUUGUAUGCUUUUAAAAUCUGUUAUUCUAUUGUUUCAGAUGUCUACACUUAGUAACAGCAAGCUCAAAAUUGUCUAUUUGUGAUAAAAUUAGUAGUUCAUUUUGACUAUCAUGAUUGUAGUAGUUAUUUGAUUGAGUGCAUGUACUCAGUGUAAGUAAAAUGCAUAAGACAGAGGGGGGGAGAGAGAGAGAGAGAGAGAGAGAGAGAGAGAGAGAGAGAGAGAGAGAGAGAGAGAAUGAAUAAAACUGAAACAGCAUAGAAAAACUGUGGGAAAACUAAGGUUCUAAGUGUAGCACAUCUCCUGUGGGAUGUAUGAAAGCUAACCACUCCUGUGUUCAGGAUUUCUUCCCCAUACCCUACCUCUCUUAUGUAAACAUUGUCAAAAAUCUUGACCUUUUUAUUUGGCCAAUACUAACCUUUUUAAUGUAUAAUACAUAUUUCAAAUUUAUUUAAUUAUGCUAAUUGGAAUAUAUUUUCAAUCACUACUUCUGUGGCUACAUAUAUCACCAGUUAUUAUUUUACUUAAGGCAAGAAGAUGUAGCUUAAAAGAUAUUUUGGAAUUUAUUUUUUUUCUAAGUUUAGCAUCAUUUUAUGGGAACCAUUUUGAAUUAAUUAUUUUAUUAUCUGAGCAGGAAAAUGAAUUUACAUUUUAUUCACUUCAAUACAUAUAUAUUGUAUACAUUGCAUACAUAUAUAUGUAUAAGUGUAUUUACAUAUAUAUAAUCUUUAUAAUCAAAGACUUAUUCAUGUAGUUGUGACAUAUGUUUACAUUUCAUAAAACUAGGGUACUAAUUUAUUCAUAUAUAUGUAUAUAUAUGAAGAAUUAUAUACAAAUUUAUUUAUACAUACUAUAUCUAUACAGAGUUUAUCAUCAUCUAAGAUCUGUUAUUAUUGACUUAAUUUUCUUAGUAACUUUUAUAUUUUAAAUUAUAUAAGAUCACAAAACAUUGGAGUUUAUUUAUUCUACAUUAUGCAUGCAUUUUAGCAUAAAGACUAGUGUUGGGUCCUUUGAACCUUCAUUUGUAUAACUCAACAAAACUGACAUGACAUUGUUUAUCUGUAAUCCCAGUUUGGGCUAGCUAGUCAAUGAAGAUUACUCAUCUGAGAUUAUAGUGAUCUAAGUUUAAUUAUAGACUGUUUCAGAAUAUAUGGAGGAAAUUGAAUGGAAGGAUAUGAAAUCUAGACCUCUUUCAACUACAUACAUGUGUACACACCUCAUGCCGAUUAAAAUAAAGGAACAAGUAUGUGUAUGUAUACUUCUACACACAUGAUAUGGAAUUAGAAUAUUUUGAAAAGUACUGUUAUGUACUAGGACAUAGAACUCAUAUAAGUAGGUUGAGUUGGCUUCAAACUCAGACAGAUCCACAUGAUUUUAACCCUCUUUUUGCUAGGAUUUAUAAGACACAGACCACUACCAUCGGCUUAAUUGCAGGUUUUUGAGGAGUAAAUUUUAUUCCAUUGAAGUAUAUAUCUAAAUAUAUAAGGAUAGAAAAUAUCAUAGUUACAAUUAUUACGAAUAAAGAAUGUGUAUAUCAAGAUCUUCAUUCAAUUGUGAUUUCAGGAUGUUCUUUCAAAAUUGACUAUUGUGGAUUUUCUUAUGAAUUUUAAAUUGUUUGGCCAUAGGCCCAACUGUAAAUUACCUGUUCUUUGGAUUACUAUAGUCUAAAUAGAUUUUUUUAAUUUGGAGCUUAGUCAAAAUACUAAAAUUCUAAUCAAUUAAUCAGAACAUUUAAAGUCAAUUUUAGUAGUUUUAAAAAUGUGCUUGUGGUCGUUAUUAAAUUAUUUGAAAUUGUUCUGUUAACAAUUUCUUCUGCAUCCAGAGAUUUCAUAAUGAAAGCCUUUAAAAGACUCAAGUAAAAUCUAUUUCAAAUCAGUGCUGUCAGUACUGAAAACUUGUUUUUAUACAACUGGAUUAUAAGCUAGUUUCUGGUAUAUGAAUGAGGUUAGGAUAUGAAAUUAAACUGAUUUCCUAUUUUAAUAGUAGAGGGAUUUAUAUGGGUGAUAAAUACAAGACCCAGAUCAUCAAAACAUUACAUAACUUCUAACUCCAUGUAAAACCAUACAAUUUUAACUGUAGAUACAGAUAUCACAAAAAA
rnacentral:lncRNA from 1 species